rnacentral:rRNA from 1 species
AUGAUUUGUCCGGCUCUCUGUUUCCAUUGUGGUUCAACUGCACGAUAUGGUUGUGUGCUUUCUGCAAUCGACAUAUUAGUGUGCUCUCGUAUGUGCCCUUGCUGUCACUGCUACCAUGGCCAUCACACAGGAACCCACAGAAGAUCGUAUCACAAGGUCGCCCCUAUGGAACAAUGGAAGCUACCGUCUGAAGGCGGGUUUAAACUGAAUGUGGACGGCGCUUACUCUGAGUCUGAAGUCAAUGGUGGUGCGAGCAUGGUUCUUAGGGAUAGCACGAGGCAUAUCGUGCUCUCGUCUUGCCUCCAUUUGUUCGUUCACCAGCACGACUGCCAUGGAAGCGGAAAUGGAAGCAUGCUAGGAGGGAACCACACCACCCUUCAUUCGGGAAACCGAUAG